AAUAGCGCAGUGGUAGCGCGUCGGUCUCAUAGUUAAUCCGAAAGUCGUGAGUUCGAAUCUCACUUG
rnacentral:tRNA from 1 species